AUUGAACGCUGGCGGCAUGCUUUACACAUGCAAGUCGAACGGUAACAGGUUAAGCUGACGAGUGGCGAACGGGUGAGUAAUGCAUCGGAACGUGCCCGAUCGUGGGGGAUAACGCAGCGAAAGCUGCGCUAAUACCGCAUACGAUCUGAGGAUGAAAGCGGGGGACCGUAGGGCCUCGCGCGAUCGGAGCGGCCGAUGUCAGAUUAGGUAAUUGGUGGGGUAAAGGCCCACCAAGCCGACGAUCUGUAGCUGGUCUGAGAGGACGACCAGCCACACCGGGACUGAGACACGGCCCAGACUCCUACGGGAGGCAGCAGUGGGGAAUUUUGGACAAUGGGCGAAAGCCUGAUCCAGCAAUGCCGCGUGCAGGAAGAAGGCCUUCGGGUUGUAAACUGCUUUUGUACGGAGCGAAAAGGCCCUCUCUAAUACAGUGGGCUCAUGACGGUACCGUAAGAAUAAGCACCGGCUAACUACGUGCCAGCAGCCGCAGUAACAC
rnacentral:rRNA from 1 species